rnacentral:rRNA from 1 species
CCCUUAGAUGUUCUGGGCCGCACGCGCGCUACACUGAUGCAUUCAACAAGCCUAGCCUUGACCGAGAGGUCCGGGUAAUCUUUGAAACUGCAUCGUGAUGGGGCCAGAUUAUUGCAAUUAUUAAUCUUCAACGAGGAAUGCCUAGUAAGCGUGAUUCAUCAAAUCGCGUUGAUUACGUCCCUGCCCUUUGUACACACCGCCCGUCGCUCCUACCGAUUGAAUGUGUUGGUGAGGAGCUCGGAUUGGCAGCAGUUGGUGGUUCGCCACCGGCUAUUGCUGAGAAGUCCUCCAAACCGCCCCAUUUAGAGGAAGGAGAAGUCGUAACA